UCCCUGGUGGUCCAGCGGUUAAGACUUUGCACUGCCAAAGCAGAGGUCACAGGUUCCAUCCCUGGUUGGGGAA
rnacentral:tRNA from 1 species